AAAUGAAUAGACGGGGGCCCGCACAAGCAGUGGAGUAUGUGGUUUAAUUCGAAGCAACGCGAAGAACCUUACCAGGGCUUGACAUGCAGGUGAAUGCAUAAGAAAAGAUGCAGACCUUAGGGACACCUGUGCAGGUGGUGCAUGGUUGUCGUCAGCUCGUGUCGUGAGAUGUUUGGUUAAGUCCAUAAACGAGCGCAACCCCUAUCGUUAGUUGCCAGCACGUAAAGGUGGGAACUCUAACGAGACUGCCGUGGAGAACACGGAGGAAGGUGGGGAUGAUGUCAAAUCAUCAUGCCCUAUAUGCCCUGGGCUACACACGUACUACAAUGGCCGUAACAGAGAGAAGCAAGAGAGCGAUCUUAAGCGAAACUAAAAAAGCGGUCUCAGUUCGGAUUGGAGGCUGAAAUUCGCCUCCAUGAAGCCGGAAUUGCUAGUAAUUGCAGGUCAGCAUACUGCAGUGAAUACGUUCCCGGGCCUUGUACACACCGCCCGU
rnacentral:rRNA from 1 species